GAUGGGGAAACUGAGGCAUUAGAGAGGCUACGUGACUUGCCCAAGGUCACAGAUUUUGCAGGUCUCCGUGUGAUGCUUUGCUCAGCCUUACUUACAGGAAGAGAAGAUGCAAUUCUCAAAGACUGCUAUAACCCUGCCGUGUCCUCAGGAAGAUCCCAACAAGGUGGUGGUUUUCCUUAACAGCUGGAGAGUCAGAUCUGAAAUUAGGCAAAGCAUCAUACCCCAGGCAUCCCAGCAUCUCAUUUAUGCAAGACUGCACUGCCUCUGCAGAAGAUGUGAUCUUUGGCAGUACCCCUCAGGAUGUGCUCCAGCCCCAAUAACCUGUCCUGGGAAUAGAGCCUUCAGCCUGACAAAGCCAUGGUGUAAGGCACAGCCAUUUCUCAGCUCCUGGUCAGCACUGGCUUCUUCCAGGCAAGCAGCCAACUUAACAGCAGCUCUGAAGCAGUAUCAAGUGCCAGUCAUCUGUGUAUCUCAGCAACAGCACAGAAAGUCCAAAGUAUCACAUCGUGAAAAAUCAUCGUGUCAACCAUUUUGCUCUUGAUGGGGCAUCUUCUCCCCUUUUUGAUGCUCCUUAGGAUAAAUGCAACAAUGGGAGUGCCUGGACAGGGCCUGGCAGAAACGGAGGGGGAAAAUGAGCAAUUGCAAAAACAGUAACAGAAGGGUAAUGUUUCCUGCCAUGCUCCUUCCGUUGCCUUAGAAAAGGGACUGCAGAGACUUCCCAGAUGGGGUCUGGGCUGCUCUCCCUUCAGUUGCUUUUCAGGAAUGCAGCUCACAGACCCAGGGACCUCACUGCUGUACAGCAGGUGGGUGGCUGUAUAUGACACUGGCUCGGGAGGCAGCAAGAAGUGAACGCAGCAGUGGAAAUUAGGCAGGAAUUUCAAAAACGGAUACAGCUCGGUGUAAGGGUGAGGUUUACCAUUAGUGAUAUAAGAACCACACUGAGGUUUCUGUCUCAGGCAGCCACAGCUGGUUUGGGGCUGUUCAUCAAUGCAGAAGUUGGGAGCAAGGCCAGGUAUUGGCUUCCCCUGCCUGCCUUACUGGGAGGCCAUCCUGCUCCCUACAAGGGAAUUUCUUCAUGGCAGUGAGGUAAACAAGCAAAUCAUAAUGCUUUCUAGUUGCAUGAUCACAGGGGUCUCUAACUCAGUAACAAUUUACAAUAACGAGUAUAAUGACCAGGAGAACACGUUACUGAAAGAAUCAGAGGUUGUAUUGCUUAAAGAAAACAAAAAGCCAGUAAUAACCUGAAACCCUUCCUAAAAAGGUUUUACGUAUGAUUCUCAGCCUCUUGCUAAGCCACCACUCACCAGCUGGAUGUGCUGAUGAGGAGUUCAAGCAGGAUGCAGAGCCGAUCACACUGGAUAGCAGCAGCGAUAACCCAGCAGUGCUCUCCUCUCAUCAUCCCAGCACUGGAGAAAUCCUCCACUCUGCCACUGGUGUAACUGAAUUAUGUGGGAAUCGAAGACUGACUGCAUCUGAAGGAGUACUGCGGUUUACAGUGGCUUUGCUUUAUAAAUGGUCAAACCUUCCCUUCAGUUUUUGUGAAGGUAAAAAUAAAUAAAUAAAUAAAAUCAUAGGAGGUGCAAAUAGCUAUAAAAUAGGCUAACAGAGUUUUACAUUUGUUUCAUCCUGUGGACAGAACGGAAUUCAUAACGCUGAAUCAGGUGAGAGCAAACAAUUACAAACAAUGAACUAAGUUUUCUAGCAGGUGUUAAGAUGCCUUACUUAUAGCCGUGUUGUAACAUGGUCCUCUUGCCCGUCUUUCCACUGGUUUAUAAACAAGUCACAAGCCUCUCCCCAUGAAUCAAACACAUCCUCUGAUGAGUCUAAAAGUUUGGAAUUAGAGGAACAAAUACUGGAAGCACAGUGAAGGGAACUGGUACAAACCACAGGGCACUCCUUGCUCUGUCCUGUAAGUCUCGUGUUCCCACUGUAGUCUACCUCAUUGAGGUUAAUUUCACUUUUGGAACAAUUCUCUUCUCUCUCUUUAUCAAUCUGAGAAUAUUUGAUGUCUUUCCACAUGUAGUGUGGCUGAAUAAUCCCAUCUGAAAUAGUGUACAUGGGCUCUGAAUUUGCCUCAGGUACAUGUCCAUUCAUCUUGGAGAACAGCAGCCCCAGUCUCUUAAAGGACUCUUUCUUGGAACUGGAGAGCCUCUGAACUCUAUUUCCAUUUCGGAUAAAGGAGCGCUUACUGAUCCCAUUGCUUUUUGGCUUCUCUUCCACCAUGUCAAUCCCAGACAUAGUUUUAAUUAGCGCAGACACAUUGAAGUCCUUUUUUUUGUUGGCUACAUUGAAAGACACACUCUUGACUUUGGGUUUUUCUCCAGUGCUAUCCUCAUUUGUUUCAUCCUUUUGGGACACCUCUGUGCUACUGGUAGAAUAACUUCUCCUCUGGGGCUUCCUGUUUCCCAGGAGGUCAAGGACUUCAUAGCGAAAACUUGAGAUGUCCUGUUUUAAUUCCUAGGGCAAGAGGAAAAAUGAGGUACACUCAGCAGCAUUAUCGGUGAGGUAAAAGAGUGACCACGUUCUCCUGGGAGGAUUGCUCAGAGGUAUACAAAGGGCUGGUAUCAAAUAAUGAUUACAAGAAAACCACAUAGAUCUUUAUUAUUUGAUGACAGAAAAAAAGAAAGUGUGCUGUUAAUCCUGAGAACUGGAGAGUUUGCCAGAUCUUUACUGCCAUAGGCUGUGGUCCAGCCUUUGUGACCACCCCUUUCUCUCCCCUUCUUCCUGCUUGAGCGCUGGGGGACAAGCUGAAAUAAGGCAUUCUAUAGAAAUGAUGAAACUGUUGGAAUUUAGAAAUAUUACAGGAAUUUUUUAGUUGGCCCAACUUUAAUUUUGUUUACAAGUGUUCUCUGUAUCCAUUAACCCAGCCUCAGUCUGGGAUUAGGAGUGUGGUGUUGACACAAAUCAAGUGCUUUGUUCAAAGCCUUUGUCUACAUACUUCCACAUCUGGAAGUGACCAUAUGAUAAGACACCUGAAUGAGGAGUAUCUUCUGCUCAAAAGAAACCCACAUGCACACCGUGUAUAUAUUCCCAGCUCCAGUAAUGGUUGUAUUUCCACAUUUUUCCCAAAUUAGUGGGAACUCUUCAAGUGGCUACUCAAAUUAAUAUGAUCAUUAAUGAGAAAAAAGUUACCUUGAAAUUUUCUUCAGUUAAGCCUUCGUUGGUUUUGGAAGUUCUUAUCAUUGCUGCAACAUACCUUUUUACAAGAUUUCUAAUCACUUCCUGAAAUAAGAAACAAUACAAGUGAUUCAAAUUCUGGCUCUAAAUGUACUUCUCUGAGCUCUGACAGUGGUUCUCCCUGUUUUGCUCUCUUAAAAUGAAUUAAAAAAGAAAAUCACCAUUAGCAGUGCUUGUACUUUUCAUUUUGAAAGCUAUUAAAUAUUUUGCACUCUUUCAAUUGUAAAAGUCGUUCAGCAAAAUCUUCUUGAUUAUCUUAAAUGUCUUCAAAGGUAUUUAAAUUCUUUCACUGCAGUUUUUAAUCUCAGGUGCCAAAAGUUUAAGGUUACCAGUCUCACGUGUACUGUGUAGCUAAGCUUGC
rnacentral:lncRNA from 1 species